rnacentral:ncRNA from 1 species
UUCUUCGGGGCGGGGUGAGAUUCCCCACCGGCGGUAAAGUCCGCGAGCUGCAUUGCAGUUGAUCCGGGUAGCCUAUGGCGUUUCCGGAACCGACAGUAUAGUCUGGAUGAGAGAAGAA